CCAGACUCCUACGGGAGGCAGCAGUGGGGAAUAUUGCGCAAUGGGGGAAACCCUGACGCAGCAACGCCGCGUGAGUGAAGAAGUAUCUCGGUAUGUAAAGCUCUAUCAGCGGGGAAGAAAGAGGACGGUACCCGACUAAGAAGCCCCGGCUAACUACGUGCCAGCAGCCGCGGUAAUACGUAGGGGGCAAGCGUUAUCCGGAUUCACUGGGUGUAAAGGGAGCGUAGACGGCGACGCAAGUCUGGAGUGAAAGCCCGGGGCCCAACCCCGGGACUGCUUUGGAAACUGCCCGGCUAGAGUGCUGGAGAGGUAAGCGGAAUUCCUAGUGUAGCGGUGAAAUGCGUAGAUAUUAGGAGGAACACCAGUGGCGAAGGCGGCUUACUGGACAGUAACUGACGUUGAGGCUCGAAAGCGUGGGGAGCAAACAGGAUUAGAUACCCGGGUAU
rnacentral:rRNA from 1 species